rnacentral:rRNA from 1 species
UGUCUCAAAGAUUAAUCCUGCAUGUCUAAGUACAAGCCGUGUACACGGCGAGACGCGAACGGCUCAUUAAAUCGGUUAUGACUCCACUGGGGACAGACUCACCCGGGGAUAACGUGCGGUUACUGCGGUGCUAAUACAUGCAACAAGGCUUCGACCCCGGGCUCGCGGUGGUGGAAGGGCGCACUUAUUAUGCGAAAACCAAUCGCCCGCUCGUGCGGACGUUGGUGGACGACACCCGAGUAAUUGGCGCCGAUCGCACGGGCCUUAAGCCGCGGACACCUUCACUGAGUUUCUGAUGUAUCAUGCUGACGACACGGUGGGAGCUAUGCCAACCGUGGCGUUAACGGAUAACAGAGAAUCUGGGUUCGAUUCCGGAGAGGGAGCCUAGAAACGGCUACCACAUCUAAGGAAGGCAGCAGGCCCGCAAAUUACCCACUCCCGGCUCGGGGAGGUAGUGACGAGAAAUAACAAUGCGGGACUCUUUCAAGGCCUCGGGAUUGGAAUGAGCACACUUUAAACCCUUUAACGGGGAUCCAUUGGGGGGCAAGUCUGGCCCCAGCCCCCGGGGUAAUUCCAGCUCCAAUAGGGUAUUUUAAAGUUGGUGGGGAUAAAAAGCUCGGAGGUGGAUUUCAAGGUGCGGCGGGCGGCUCCCUUCUAGGGGCCUCUGGGCCGACCGCGCCCUUUUUUGGCUUAUUCCCUGCGCCUGUUCCUAUACGUUAGAGGGGGCGGGCACCUCCCCUCUUACAACAAAGAAAAUUUAAAGCGCCCAGGGCGCGCCCCUUUGCUUAAUGUGCGUGGAGAUGUAAGAAAAAGCCCAGGCUCUAUUUUUUUCCUUUUUGGGCCCCCGCGGGACCCGUAACAGGGAACAGACGGGNCCCUUCGCAUCUUCUUCUUUAACGGGAAAUACUUACAUCUCCGCGCGCCCGGAACAACGCGAAAGCAUUUGCCAAGAAUGUUUUCAUUAAUCAAGAACGAAAGUCAGAGGUGCGAAGGCGAUCAGAUACCGCCGUAGUUCUGACCGUAAACGAUGCCAACUGGCAAUUGGGCGCACUUCUAUAGAAGUUGCUGCCAGCAGUAUUGCCCGGGAAACCAAAGUCAUUGGGUUCCGGGGGGAGUAUGGUUGCAAAGCUGAAACUUAAAGGAAUUGACGGAAGGGCACCACCAGGAGUGGAGCCUGCGGCUUAAUUUGACUCAACACGGGAAACCUCACCCGGCCCGAACACUGUUAUGACAGACAGGUUGAGAGCUCUUUCUCGAUUCAGUGGUUGGUGGUGCAUGGCCGUUCUUAGUUCGUGGAGCGAUCUGUCUGGUUAAUUCCGAUAACGAACGAGACUCUUGCCUGCUAAAUAGACGGCGCCGCCCUGUUCGGCGACCGUUCGCUUCUUAGAGGGACAAGCGGCUUUUAGCCGCGUGAAGCCGAGAGCAAUAACAGGUCUGUGAUGCAAGAUCUGCGCCGCACGCGCGCUACACUGAUUGAAUCAACGAGUUUNUCCUGCGCCGACUGGCGCGGGCAAUCCUUUGAAACGCACACUGGCUAUGGAUCGGAGAGGGCAAUUGUUCUCCGCGAACAAGAAAUUCUUUGAACUGGCGAGUAAUAAGCUCGCGGGGAAUCUGUCCCUGCCCUUUGUACACACCGCCCGUCGUUACUACCGAUUGAGUGGCUUAGGGAGGCUCACGGACUGCGCGCGGUACACGGCACUUUCGGGCGUCGCGUACCGAGGCGUAAAGUGUAACACUAACUUGGUCACUUAUAGGAAGCAAAAGUCCCCUCAGGGAUUUUGCACGUGAACCUGCGGAAGGAUCUCCCUC